rnacentral:rRNA from 1 species
AUGGCGGGGGUGGUGCAGAGCGUGCAGGCCUUGGCGUCCUCGCUGGGUGCGCUCCCGCCGGAGUUCGUGCGGCCCGAGCACGAGCGGCCGCGCGCCACCACUUUCCGCGGGGCCUCACCGCUGCAGAUCCCAGUGGUCGACAUGUCCUUGCCGGACGCCGGCUGCCGCAUGGUGGAGGCGGCGACGGAGUGGGGGAUCUUCCAGGCGGUGAACCACGGCGUGCCGGCGGAUGCCGUGGCGGAGCUGCAGCGCGUGGGGCGGGAGUUCUUCGCGCUCCCGCAGGAGGAGAAGAUAUGGUCCGACAACUUGUUCCACACCAUCUCACCGCCGGCCGCGGUGAACCACGGCUUCUGGCCGGACAAACCCAGGGGGUACCGUCAGGCCAACGAGGCGUACUGCGGCCGCAUCCUGCGGCUGACGCUGGAGGUACUGGAGCGCCUCUCGGCGGGGUUGGGCCUGGAGGAGGGCGCCAUGGCGGAGGCGUUCGGGGGCGGCGACGACGGCCUGGUGCUCAUUCAGAUGGUCAACUUCUACCCACCGUGCCCGCAGCCAGAGCUCGCGCUCGGCUUCGCGCCGCACACUGACCUGUGCGCGCUCACGGUCCUCGUGGCCAACGGCGUGCCGGGACUCCAGGUGUCCAUGGACGGCCUCUGGUACGACGUCGAGCACGUGCCAGGAGCCCUCAUCGUCAACGUCGGCGACCAGAUCGAGAUUUUUAGUAACGGGAGGUACAGGUCGGUGCUGCACCGGGCGACGGUGAGCAGGGAGAAGACGCGGAUGUCGUGGCCGGUGUUCGUGGAGCCGCGGAGAGAGUACCUCGUCGCGCCCCACCCGCGCCUCGUCGCCGGCGAGAUCCCUGCCAAGUACGACUACAAGGCCAAGACGUUCGAGAACUACAGAUACUGCAGGAUCAACAAGCUACCGCAGUAG